rnacentral:rRNA from 1 species
GACGAACGCUGGCGGCAUGCCUAAUACAUGCAAGUCGAGCGAACAGAUGAAGUGCUUGCACUUCUGACGUUAGCGGCGAACGGGUGAGUAACACGUAAGGAAUCUACCUAUAAGCGGGGGAUAACAUUCGGAAACGGGUGCUAAUACCGCAUAAUAUCUUCUUCCGCAUGGAAGAAGAUUGAAAGACGGCUCUGCUGUCACUUAUAGAUGACCUUGCGGUGCAUUAGUUAGUUGGUGGGGUAACGGCCUACCAAGACGAUGAUGCAUAGCCGACCUGAGAGGGUGAUCGGCCACGUUGGGACUGAGACACGGCCCAAACUCCUACGGGAGGCAGCAGUAGGGAAUCUUCCGCAAUGGGCGAAAGCCUGACGGAGCAAUGCCGCGUGAGUGAAGAAGGCCUUCGGGUCGUAAAACUCUGUUAUAAGAGAAGAACAAAUUGUAGAGUAACUGCUACGGUCUUGACGGUAUCUUAUCAGAAAGCCACGGCUAACUACGUGCCAGCCGCCGCCGUAA